UAGACUGGAUGCCUGAAGACAGACUUUGU
rnacentral:piRNA from 1 species